UACGUAGGGUGCGAGCGUUGUCCGGAAUUAUUGGGCGUAAAGAGCUCGUAGGCGGUGUGUCACGUCGGCCGUGAAAACCUGCAGCUUAACUGUGGGCGGGCAGCUGAUACGGGCAGGCUGGAGUUCGGUAGGGGAGACUGGAAUUCCUGGUGUAGCGGUGAAAUGCGCAGAUAUCAGGAGGAACACCCGUGGCGAAAGCGGCUCUCUGGAACGGUACUGACGCUGAGACGCGAAAGCGUGGGGAGCGAACAGG
rnacentral:rRNA from 1 species